AGCCAAUGAGGCGUAGUGGUUUGAGUGUUGGACUACAGCUCUGGAGACCUGGGUUUGAUUCCCAGCUCGGCUA